GAUGAAGAACGUAGCGAAAGGCGAUAAGUAAUGUGAAUUGCAGAAUUCAGUGAAUCAUCGAAUCUUUGAACGCACAUUGCGCCCGCCAGUAUUCUGGCGGGCAUGCCUGUUCGAGCGUCAUUUCAACCAUCAAGCCCCCGGCUUGUGUUGGGGACCUGCGGCUGCCGCAGGCCCUGAAAACCAGUGGCGGGCUCGCUAGUCACUCCGAGCGUAGUAAUACAUCUCGCUCAGGGCGUGCUGCGGGUUCCGGCCGUUAAAAAGCCUUAUUUACCCAAGGUUGACCUCGGAUCAGGUAGGAAGACCCGCUGAACUUAAGCAUAUCAAUAAGCGGAGGA
rnacentral:misc_RNA from 1 species